GGUGGCUCAGUGGUAGAGCACUUGCCUUGCAUGCAUGUGGCCAUGGGUUCGAUUCCUCAGCACCA
rnacentral:tRNA from 1 species